rnacentral:lncRNA from 1 species
UGGAGCUCCUUCCUUUCCCAAUCCACUGUAUGGAUGUACAGAUUGAUCAAUCUUUUUAGCUUCUCUUGUACGUUGAUUCUUAUUUUAACUGGUGAUGAGUUCUCGGCAGCAUGUCGCCCUUUAUUUGUGAGUUUUCCCCCUCAUAUUUAGAAAAGUGGUGGCCAUUUUCAAUUCCUCUUGUUUUGACCAAGAAGUUACCAGUCUCUUAUGUGAUUCUAAUUUACUAGCGGUUUGAUGUUUCACGAAGGUUCUUGGUUGAGUGAGUUUGUGUAAAUUUCUUUGAACUAAUUUUGUUUCUCUCUCUGCCUCAAAGGGAAAGGGAUGAUUUGAAUUGCUGUAAUCCCGAUAUUCGGUGGAAACGUAUUUUUCGGGGGGUCUCCGGGAUUUUUUUCCUUUUAUGUGAAAUGAUAAGUUUAAUCUCUUUGUGCGCUAAGAGUUCGUGGUUUAAAAUACCUACAGACAUGAGAGGGUUGAGGGCUCCUCCACCACUCUCAUGUGCCAAGGAGAAUCCUAACUAUUUUCAUUUAUUAUUUUCUGAUCAUACUGAACUUUUUAUUUUAUAUUUAUAAUGUUUUACAAAAUUUUGUUCUCUUGUUUUUGAUGAUAAAUUUUUGUUAGUAUGCUGGCUUAGACACGUCACCAUGAAAAAACAAUUGAUUAACUCAUGAGGCAUGUUGUUGCAUGCAUUGGAUGUAUUAAGGAAUGCUCUUUAUAAUGUAUAAAGGAGAGAUAAUAAGGUUGGAAUAAUUGAAGAUAUAUUUGUUGUGACAAUACUAUACUGAUUUAAAUCACUGAAGAGGAAUGUCUAUAUCUAAUUGCAAAAAGAAUGUAAUUGACUGCGCAAAGAGAAACGUUGAAGUUGAUUGACUUCUGAAAGAAUUUGUGCAUAGUUGUUCUGUAGUGGCUGAUGAACGUAUUGGGCGAUGGAUUACAAAAGCCUGGUCUCUGGGGGAAGGUUUCAGUCGCUUGAGAAAGUUUUUGAUCACUCAGGAUGGAGUCAGCUGUAGGACGAACCAAUGCUCAAGUCUACUCGUGGAAGGAUUCUGUCGGAUCAAAGUUGAAAUCAUGGUUUCUUAUCCUUACUUGCAGGGUACUAA